rnacentral:rRNA from 1 species
GCGCGAAAACUUUACAAUGCUGGCAACAGCGAUAAGGGAACCUCGAGUGCCAGGUUACAGAUCUGGCUGUCGAGAUGCCUAAAAAGCAUUUCAUAGCAAGGGCCGGGCAAGACCGGUGCCAGCCGCCGCGGUAACACCGGCGGCUCGAGUGGUAACCGUUAUUAUUGGGUCUAAAGGGUCUGUAGCCGGCCGGAUAAGUCUCUUGAGAAAUCUGGCAGCUUAACUGUCAGGCUUUCAGGAGAUACUGUCUGGCUCGAGGCCGGGAGAGGUGAGAGGUACUUCAGGGGUAGGGGUGAAAUCUUGUAAUCCUUGAAGGACCACCAGUGGCGAAGGCGUCUCACCAGAACGGACCUGACGGCAAGGGACGAAAGCUAGGGG